rnacentral:rRNA from 1 species
GAUGAACGCUGGCGGCGUGCCUAAUACAUGCAAGUCGAGCGAACGGACGAGAAGCUUGAUUCUCUGAUGUUAGCGGCGGACGGGUGAGUAACACGUGGAUAACCUACCUAUAAGACUGGGAUAACUUCGGGAAACCGGAGCUAAUACCGGAUGAUAUUUUGAACCGCAUGGUUCAAAAGUGAAAGACGGUCUUGCUGUCACUUAUAGGUGGAUCCGCGCCGAAUUAGCUAGUUGGUAAGGUAACGGCUUACCAAGGCAACGAUGCAUAGCCGACCUGAGAGGGGGACAGGCCACACUGGAACGGCGACACGGUCCAGACUCCUACGGGAGGCAGCAGUAGGGAAUCUUCCGCAAUUGGCGAAAGCCUGACGGAGCAACGCCGCGUGAGUGAUGAAGGUCUUCUGAUCGUAAAACUCUGUUAUUAGUGAAGAACAUAUGUGUAAGUAACUGUGCACAUCUUGACGGUACCUAAUCAGAAAGCCACGGCUAACUACGUG